rnacentral:rRNA from 1 species
UGGCUCAGAACGAACGCUGGCGGCAUGCUUUACACAUGCAAGUCGAACGGCAGCACGGGGGCAACCCUGGUGGCGAGUGGCGAACGGGUGAGUAAUAUAUCGGAACGUGUCCUGUAAUGGGGGAUAACGCAGCGAAAGUUGUGCUAAUACCGCAUACGAUCUACGGAUGAAAGCGGGGGACCGCAAGGCCUCGCGUUAUAGGAGCGGCCGAUAUCGGAUUAGCUAGUUGGCGGGGUAAAGGCCCACCAAGGCGGGGAUCCGUAGCUGGUCUGAGAGGAUGAUCAGCCACAAUGGCACUGAAACACGGGCCAUGGUCCUACGGGAGGCAGCAGUGGGA